UAGGGGGCAAGCGUUAUCCGGAUUUACUGGGUGUAAAGGGAGCGUAGACGGUGAUGCAAGUCAGAAGUGAAAGCCCGCGGCUCAACUGCGGGACUGCUUUUGAAACUGUGUAACUGGAGUGCAGGAGAGGUAAGCGGAAUUCCUGGUGUAGCGGUGAAAUGCGUAGAUAUCAGGAGGAACACCAGUGGCGAAGGCGGCUUACUGGACUGUAACUGACGUUGAGGCUCGAAAGCGUGGGGAGCAAA
rnacentral:rRNA from 1 species